rnacentral:rRNA from 1 species
UACGAAGGGAGCUAGCGUUGUUCGGAAUCACUGGGCUUAAAGCGCGUGUAGGCGGGUCGUUAAGUGUCCGAGUGAAAUCCCACGGCUCAACCGUGGAACUGCCGGGCAUACUGGCGAUCUUGAGGCAUUCAGGGGCGAGCGGAACAAAUGGUGGAGCGGUGAAAUGCGUAGAUAUCAUUUGGAACGCCAAUGGUGAAAACAGCUCGCUGGGAAUGAUCUGACGCUGAGACGCGAAAGCCAGGGGAGCGAACGGG